GGGAGGAGCAGCCAGCAAGCCUAGGAGUCCAGAGAGCCAACGCCGGGGAGGCAGCGAGGAGGCAGGCGGGCGGGCGAGCGCUCCUUCUUCCCGCUCCUCUGGCGCUCUCGCCCUCGGGCGGCGGCAACCCACCCUCUUCCAACCUCCGGCGCGGAUAGCAGGGGCCCCGGGGCGCUCUCCCAGCCUUGUGCGCCCUGGAUCGCACAAGAGGCCGCCUCGGGAGCGCCAGAGUGAGCGCUCGACAAAUGUUUACUGAGUGCCCACGGGGUGCCUAGAGCCUGGCGGGACGUCGCGGGGAUGCGGCUGGAGGAAUCGGAGCCGGCCCUGCCCUCUCGGCACUCGCGGUCCGGACCAGGAAGGCGGCCCGAGCAGGACGGGUGGGCUGCGGACCGCGGUGGGAAAAGUUGGGGGAGCGCGGAGGUGGCGCGGAAAUAGAAGGCUUCCUGGAAGCGGUGACCCUUGAGCCGGUCUUGCCCCUCAGUCCCUGUAUCCUUUUAAGCCAGCCACGCUGACCCCUCCGCGCCUCCCUGAAGCCGUUGCCAGCCUGUCUCUGCGCUCGCCAUUCCCUCCGCCUGGACCUCUCCCCACUCACCACCUCCCGCCCCCAUCAGACGCUGCUUUCUCCUCCCAGAGACCUCCAAGACCUGCCAAGCUGAGGUUGUUUCCUCGCCUCGCCCCUCGCACGUUUGUUUU
rnacentral:lncRNA from 10 species